rnacentral:rRNA from 1 species
UACGUAGGGUCCGAGCGUUGUCCGGAAUUACUGGGCGUAAAGCGUGCGCAGGCGGUUCGUUAUGUCCGAUGUGAAAGCCCCGAGCUCAACUUGGGAAUGGCAUUGGAAACUGGCGGGCUGGAGUGUGGCAGAGGGGGGUGGAAUUCCACGUGUAGCAGUGAAAUGCGUAGAGAUGUGGAGGAACACCGAUGGCGAAGGCAGCCCCCUGGGCCAACACUGACACUCAGGCACGAAAGCGUGGGGAGCAAACAGG